rnacentral:lncRNA from 1 species
ACAGCUUUCACACUGUCACACACUCCAUCACUCGGUCAGGAGAGUAGAAGCGUGACAGCACAUCCUCUGCCACCCACAGACACAAACAAAGGCCUGACAGGUCUUCACUGCAGCACACACACGCGAGCACACACACGCACCCUCUCGAUUUGUCUCCCAGCCUUCUCUGGUACAGAUGUGCUAUAACUCACUCACACACGCUAACGUUCAGCGAGCAUUGUUUGUUACAGGGAUGGUCUCAGGCACACACACACACACACACAUACAUACGCAUACACACUGCCCUGUUUUUCCACUCUCGCGUGUUAUUGGCAUCACUCACUCUGUGCAAGGUCUUUCCAUCGCUCCUUUUCCUCUCCUCUAUCUCUCCCCCUCUACCUCUUCCUCUCUUCUAUUUGGAACGGUGGGAGAAAGGUUGGAAAUGUGCAUGGCAUGGAACAAAUUUCCGUUUACUGGUACUUUCUCUCUCUUUCUCUCUCUCUCUUUCCUUCUCGCUCGCUCUCUUUUUAUAUCUCUCUCUCUCUCUUUCCUUCUCUCUCUCUCUCUCUCUCUCUUUUUAUUUCUCUCCCUCUAACUUUUUAUGUAUUCAGGGAGAACUAUGCAUACAGACAAUAUGGUUUCAUUCCAUUUGAUAUGAACACACUUCACCAAGCUUUUACAAAGCAGAUAUGUUCUAUAUUGGCAGGUUUCAAUACCAGGCUGAUAUAAUGGGAGGUUUUAAUACCAGGCUGAUAUAUUGGGAGGUUUUAAUACCAGGCUGAUAUAUUGGGAGGUUUCAAUACCAGGCUGGUGUAAUGGGAGGUUUUAAUACCAGGCUGAUAUAAUGGGAGGUUUUAAUACCAGGCUGGUAUAUUGGGAGGUUUCAAUACCAGGCUGGUGUAAUGGGAGGUUUUAAUACCAGGCUGAUAUAUUGGGAGGUUUUAAUACCAGGCUGAUAUAUUGGCAGGUUUCAAUACCAGGCUGGUAUAUUGGGAGGUUUUAAUACCAGGCUGAUAUAAUGGGAGGUUUCAAUACCAGGCUGGUAUAUUGGGAGGUUUCAAUACCAGGCUGGUGUAAUGGGAGGUUUUAAUACCAGGCUGAUAUAUUGGGAGGUUUUAAUACCAGGCUGAUAUAUUGGCAGGUUUCAAUACCAGGCUGGUAUAUUGGGAGGUUUCAAUACCAGGCUGAUAUAUUGGGAGGUUUUAAUACCAGGCUGAUAUAAUGGGAGGUUUCAAUACCAGGCUGGUAUAAUGGGAGGUUUCAAUACCAGGCUGAUAUAUUGGCAGGUUUCAAUACCAGGCUGAUAUAUUGGGAGGUUUCAAUACCAGGCUGAUAUAUUGGGAGGUUUCAAUACCAGGCUGAUAUAUUGGCAGGUUUCAAUACCAGGCUGGUGUAAUGGGAGGUUUCAAUACCAGGCUGGUAUAUUGGGAGGUUUUAAUACCAGGCUGGUAUAUUUGGAGGUUUUAAUACCAGGCUGAUAUAAUGGGAGGUUUUAAUACCAGGCUGAU